UUUCAUUUUUCUUGCAUAUAUUUUUAUGUUUUAUAUGUUAUAUAACCUAUAAACACCUCCAAAAGAUGUGAGUUCAACUAUCGCUCCAGUGAAUUGGUAUUGCACAUUUUUAAAACUUUUCAGCUUUUCGACGUCGGGGGAUGCGACGCCUGUGAGUUCCCUCGGUGAUACGUGGGGGCAAAAUUUACUAACUACUUGGUUCGGCCUGGCACCGGACGACAGCUGCCUUGUGUUCAAACCUACUCUGAGUACUUUCCUUGUUGUGCACAAUCUUUCCUUCGCGACCUUGCACGACGCUCUCAAACAGUUUGAUGGUGUGCAACUGAAGAUCAAGAAAGCCAGUGGUCCGAUACCCGGCAGUUCAGGGGAUAAAAACGAACUCACUCACAUGGUACACGAUUUUUAUCAGACAAGAGGUUUCGAAAUCUGUUCCAGAGGGAAAUUCAUCGCAGUUGUUCCUAACAACAUUUACUCGAAAUUUAGGAUCUACAACCUUGAUCACGACGCCCCGACCAAUAUAUUUCAACGAAACCCACCGACUCUGACCAGCACAGCCCAAUUUAUUGCAUCCACAGACCGAUAUCCCCAAAAGGAUUCUUUUAUACUCAGUGCAAGCGGCGAAAUCGCCAUUGCCUUCGAUGCCGCAGAAACAUGCACCAGCUUUUACCAUUUGCGAGCGCCAGUACUAUCCAAACUUCCAAUAGAUUUAGAGCCUUUCAAUAGUUUAAGGUGUGAGAGACGUGUGAUAUCGAUGGCUUUGACUCAAGCGUUAGAUAUCUUUGUGACCGGUCAUUCCGAUGGCCCAAUGGUAUGGCACAAUCCUAGGCUUUGAAUCAAAUGCAUCACAGAAUUUUAAGAAGGAACAAUUAACUCUUUUCUUACCUUUCUACUUAAUUGGUUUGGUUCUUGAUGAACAUUGAUUGGCUAAAAGUUGACCUUCAAUACCCAUGAGUUAAUUUAGGAAGAGUGAAGACCACCGAGCAAGGGCCUUAGUGUGGAGGUUAAGUUGUUAUAUGUCGGCAGAAUUCCCAUUAUUUAUCUCCUGUCUCUCUCGUAGACUUUAUUCUUGACUUCCAGUGCGAGAUAGUCUAUUAGCUGGAGCGCUAGAAAGCCAUUAGGCCAUUUGUUUAAAGUAAUUAAUUUAAAAACUAGUGGUCUCAAGCAACCUGAACCAAGCAGAGCCAUGGAAACAAAAGUAAACUGUUUUUGGUCCUCUUACAAUAUUCUGGAGCAAAGGUCUGAGCGUGCUCUGUCUUGAAAGUUAUUAUUUAACUGAUAUAAAUAAAUUUAUAAU